CCUCACGAGACCGGGGUCAACCACGGCUACCAGCAUGAACGACGGCGCUUCAGACCUUUGUAGCGAGGACCCGAUGCCAGGUCCAGUGGACAGACUUCAGACGUCUCUGUGUGUCCGGUCCUGUCCGGUCCUGUCUCUGGUUGCCUGGUUACAGACGCUGCUGCACCCGCACGUUUAAAAAUGUCUACACCUGAAACUCCACCACGUCUAAAGAAGCAAAAACGUUUGCAAAUGUACAGACUGGAGUGGGAAGAGUGGAACCCCUGGCAAUGGGUACAAGGCAAACUGUGUUUUCUGUUGCUCAUGGACUGGCUGAAGUAAGGCAGCAUCAGGAGACAAACAUGGAGGAAAUAUGAGAACAGAGAGAACCCAACCAGCAGGUCACAGUUUAUCAUCAUCUAAUCAUCUCCUGAAGUCGAUAUGGUCCCUCUCUAUCUCCCCACACAUCCACCAACCACUGGAACACAUCUCCAAAGUUCUGCUGGGCCAGCUCAGCUUCCUCUCAGAAGAAGUGCUGCCACCUGACAGAUGAAGGAGCCUUUUGAGAGGCAGCUGGCAUCGUGAUUGGACUGUACUUUGGUCUGUUCCAAUCCAGCUUCAGCUCCAGAGACGGCAGGCGGGACGAGUCAACGGAGGCCGGGUGGACGAAGGCUGCAGCUGAGUACAAUCUAGAAAACAACAGAGGAGGAGUGCAGCGGCCCAGAGCCAGAACAGAGUAGCAUCACCAAAGAACUACAGACUCUUCACAACCUGCUCAAACUCUUGGUACAGGAUCUCACCACACGGGUCAAGAAGGUUGCUUUGUAGAACUGUUCCAGAAAACCUCACUAAACCACAUGGAGGGGCCUCAAGAUAGUCGUCCAAAUGAAACCGUACAAAAACCAAACUAGUACAACCCAAACGCUAAAGUCUCCUGCAGCCUACCAGAGAACCUCUGAGAACAGAGAAUCAGGACAGGAACUCUUAC
ensembl:lncRNA